GUUUACGACUGGUUUAUAAAUCAUGUUAUCUACACAGACAUUAGUUAGGACAAGGUUUACGACUGGUUUAUAAAUCAUGUUAUCUACACAGACAUUAGUUAGGACAAGGUUUAUGACUGGUUUAUAAAUCAUGUUAUCCACACAGACCUCAUUAGUUAGGACAAGGUUUACGACUGGUUUAUAAGUCAUCUUACCUACACAGACCUCAUUAGUUAGGACAAGGUUUACGAAUGGUUUAUAAGUCAUGUUAUCUACACAGACAUCAUUAGGACAGGGUUUACGACUGGUUUAUAAAUCAUGUUAUCUACACAGACAUUAGUUAGGACAAGGUUUACAACUGGUUUAUAAAUUAUGUUAUCUACACAGACCUCAUUAGUUAGGACAGGGUUUACGACUGGUUUAUAAAUCAUGUUAUCCAC
ensembl:lncRNA